rnacentral:rRNA from 1 species
AGCAGCCGCGGUAAUUCCAGCUCCAAUAGCGUAUAUUAAAGUUGUUGCAGUUAAAAAGCUCGUAGUUGAGCUUCGGGGUUUACUCAUUGGUCAGGCUUAAUUGUCUGUACUGGUGAGAUGAAUCUCUACCUUCUGAGGAACUUUCAUGCCAUUUAUUUGGUGUGGUUGGAAAUCAGGACUGUUACUUUGAAAAAUUAGAGUGUUUAAAGCAGGCUAACGUCUGAAUACAUUAGCAUGGAAUAAUGAAAUAGGACGGAUUGAUUCUAUUUCGUUGGUUUCUAGGGUCACCGUAAUGAUUAAUAGGGAUAGUUGGGGGCAUUAGUAUUCAAUUGUCAGAGGUGAAAUUCUUGGAUUUAUUGAAGACUAACUACUGCGAAAGCAUUUGCCAAGGAUGUUUUCAUUAAUCAAGAACGAAAGUUAGGGGAUCGAAGACGACCAGAUACCGUCGUAGUCUUAACCAUAAACUAUGCCGACUAGGGAUCGGACGAAGUUAAUUAAUAAUGACGCGUUCGGCACCUUA